rnacentral:rRNA from 1 species
CUACGGUGGCAGCAGUGGGGAAUAUUGGACAAUGGGCGAAAGCCUGAUCCAGCCAUGCCGCGUGUGUGAAGAAGGCCUUCGGGUUGUAAAGCACUUUCAGUGGGGAAGAAAGCCUUGGGGCUAAUACCCUCGAGGAAGGACAUCACCCACAGAAGAAGCACCGGCUAACUCCGUGCCAGCAGCCGCGGUAAUACGGAGGGUGCGAGCGUUAAUCGGAAUUACUGGGCGUAAAGCGCGCGUAGGCGGUCUGAUAAGCCGGUUGUGAAAGCCCCGGGCUCAACCUGGGAACGGCAUCCGGAACUGUCAGGCUAGAGUGCAGGAGAGGAAGGUAGAAUUCCCGGUGUAGCGGUGAAAUGCGUAGAGAUCGGGAGGAAUACCAGUGGCGAAGGCGGCCUUCUGGACUGACACUGACGCUGAGGUGCGAAAGCGUGGGUAGCAAACAGGAUUAGAUACCCUAGUAUC